rnacentral:rRNA from 1 species
CUAUCAAACUCCGAAUGCCGUCAUCUUAUACUUGGGAGUCAGACUGUGGGUGAUAAGAUUCAUAGUCGAAAGGGCAACAGCCCAGAUCGUCAGCUAAGGUCCCUAAAUGUAAGUUAAGUGGUAAAGGAUGGGGGAUUGCACAGACAACCAGGAUGUUGGCUUAGAAGCAGCCACUCAUUCAAAGAGUGCGUAAUAGCUCACUGGUCGAGUGAUCCUGCGCCGAAGAUUUCCGGGGCUAAAACUUACUACCGAAGCUAC